CAGGAUUGACAGAUUGAGAGCUCUUUCUUGAUUCNGUGGGUGGUGGUGCAUGGCCGUUCUUAGUUGGUGGAAGUGAUUUGUCUGGUUAAUUCCGAUAACGAACGAGACUCUAGCCUGCUAAAUAGU
rnacentral:rRNA from 1 species